AUGGACGGCAGGAGAGAAGAAGGCUUUGCCAAGCAUUUGAAGCUUAUGAAUUGGGUGGCGUGUUGAUGUCUUGGUUUGUCUUCACAAGUGGGGUUAUGUGCAGCAGGGGAAACAAUAACGCCAUACAUUACUAUAACUACGGUUUGAGAAAGGAAUUUGCUUUAGAUUUGCAUUUAAGGUCAACUUAUGUUCAUGUGUAGGAACUAAAUGUAAUUCAAUGGAACUUAUUAUACUCAUCUUAUCUAUUUG
rnacentral:lncRNA from 1 species